rnacentral:rRNA from 1 species
CCGGGGUGAGUAAUGUCUGGGAAACGGCCUGAUGGAGGGGGAUAACUACUGGAAACGGUAGCUAAUACCGCAUAACGUCGCAAGACCAAAGUGGGGGGACCUUCGGGCCUCAUGCCAUAAGAUGUGCCCAGAUGGGAUUAGCUAGUAGGUGGGGUAACGGCUCACCUAGGCGACGAUCCCUAGCUGGUCUGAGAGGAUGGCCAGCCACACUGGAACUGAGACACGGUCCAG